CCCUCCUCCAGGAAGCUCCCAGCCUAGCUGGCGAGCAUGGCCUCCCUUCUCCUCCUGGCCUCCCUUCUCCUCCUGGCCUCCCUUCUCCUCCUGGCUCCACGCCUUCUCUUUGCUUCCUCCCAUUGCCGUUUCUCCUGACGAUCUAAGAAAGAGCAGAAGCCUGAAAUUGGGACCUGGAGGGGACGUCUCUAAUCAAUCUUUGUCCUGGACGUGGGGACGCCGGCGCUGUGGUGCCUGCCCAGCACAUCCUGAGAUGACGCCACUGCUCCUCUUUGGCCCUGCUGAACUGUAUUCCAUGCUGGCUGUCUUUUUCCUGCAUGUAUGUUAAAGAGAUUGAAAAGUGAAGAUACCAGUGGGGUGAUCUGCAGGAGCAGGCCGGCGGGGAGCAGCGGCUUUAUUUAUUUACUUCAUCGGGAAAAGAGGCCGUGCAGUGAAAUGGUAA
rnacentral:lncRNA from 1 species